GGAGAACCCUGCAAAAUGUAAUCAUGUCAUUUGGAUCAAAUCAUGAAGCUUUCAAAAAUAAAGGAAAAUACAUUGCUCUUUCCCCUUCCCCACCAGCACUACAAUACUGAAUUAACACAUAAAUGAUCUGCUGGCCAGAGCAGAAUAUGGACCACAGAUGUUAACAACCUGGCACCGCUUGUUGUUUCUCAGUGUUGCAGGAGACAGUUUGUCCUGACUGAAUUCCCAAUGACGUGAAAAGACUGACCAAGUCCAGGCAUUUGAACCAAUUAUUAACUUCAAAUGAUGAGUGCUCAGCUACCUGACAGAUUCCAGUUUGGAAAAAUCCAUCUUUCCAGGAGUGAUGGAGCAGAUGUGUCUACUUUAGCAAUGGGCAGCCUAGAAGAUGGACAUUUGACAGGCGACAAUAGACUGCUCCUUUCCCAGAGGGAUCAGCCAUGUAUCACUCAUGUAACUGAAGAUACUGACCUAAGCCUGAUACAAAGCCUGUUGAAGCCAACAGCAAAUCUCUUAUUGAUUUUCAGCGGCUUUCUCCUGUGAGUCCAUCAAUUUUGAUUCAUAUUUUGAGAACCUAUACUUUAUUUCAACAAGAAAGUUACAUUGCCAGGUGAACCAUGCUGAGGUCCAAGUGCCCUAAAGCUUCAUGUUGCAUCAGUGGCUCCAAGUGAUCUCAAAAAUCUAUGUUUUGUCCUGUGCCAGGAUUUGAAAUUUCUAAUGCUGUAUUGGUAUUUUUUGCUGACUUAUUAUAAAGAUGACUAUGAGUAAAUAUCAGCAAAUUUCCUGGAUAUUAUUAUUUUUAUUAUUUUUUCUAAAAAGGACUAUGAUACAACAGUGGUCACAUUCAGUUUAGUCCAAAGAUCAAUUUUAAACUCAAUAGCUCGUGAUCUUUCAUGAUCUAGAAACUGCUGAUUUCAAAGUUUUUGCAGUGGGAUUUAGAACGGCUGUGACUUAUCUUUAAUUCAUUGUGAAUUUCAGGUAAUCCCAAAUGUCCUCAAAAUGAACAUUUUUAAGCAGGAAUGCUCACAGGAAAUAUCAGUAGCUACUGAGAAGUAAGAUUAGAGUCUGAUCAUACUCCAAUUGCAGCCAUUAUAUCAGAUUGGACUAAAUGUGAGCAGUAUAAAAACAAGUAUUCUAAUAUGACAUUACAUGAGCCCUCUUAACAGCAUGUUAGAGCCCAUCACUUGGACCACUGUGUGUUAUUGAAGAAACUUGAGAUGGGGAUGAUCUAAUCUGAUCUAUA
rnacentral:lncRNA from 1 species